CCUACGGGCGGCAGCAGUGGGGAAUAUUGGGCAAUGGGCGCAAGCCUGACCCAGCAACGCCGCGUGAAGGAAGAAGGCUUUCGGGUUGUAAACUUCUUUUAUCAGGGACGAAGAAAGUGACGGUACCUCAGGAAUAAGCCACGGCUAACUACGUGCCAGCAGCCGCGGUAAUACGUAGGUGGCAAGCGUUAUCCGGAUUUAUUGGGUGUAAAGGGCGUGUAGGCGGGAAAGCAAGUCAGAUGUGAAAACUCAGGGCUCAACCCUGAGCCUGCAUUUGAAACUGUUUUGCUUGAGUGCUGGAGAGGUAAUCGGAAUUCCGUGUGUAGCGGUGAAAUGCGUAGAUAUAAGGAGGAACACCAGUGGCGAAGGCGGAUUGCUGGACAGUAACUGACGCUGAGGCGCGAAAGCGUGGGGAGCAAACAGGAUUAGAUACCCGAGUAGUC
rnacentral:rRNA from 1 species